UGCCAGACUCCUACGGGAGGCAGCAGUGGGGAAUAUUGCACAAUGGGGGAAACCCUGAUGCAGCGACGCCGCGUGAGCGAUGAAGUAUUUCGGUAUGUAAAGCUCUAUCAGCAGGGAAGAAAAUGACGGUACCUGACUAAGAAGCCCCGGCUAACUACGUGCCAGCAGCCGCGGUAAUACGUAGGGGGCAAGCGUUAUCCGGAUUUACUGGGUGUAAAGGGAGCGUAGACGGCUGUGCAAGCCAGAUGUGAAAGCCCGGGGCUCAACCCCGGGACUGCAUUUGGAACUGUGUGGCUGGAGUGUCGGAGAGGCAGGCGGAAUUCCUAGUGUAGCGGUGAAAUGCGUAGAUAUUAGGAGGAACACCAGUGGCGAAGGCGGCCUGCUGGACGAUGACUGACGUUGAGGCUCGAAAGCGUGGGGAGCAAACAGGAUUAGAUACCCUUGUAA
rnacentral:rRNA from 1 species